rnacentral:rRNA from 1 species
CAUGUCAAUAAGUAUAAGCAACUAUACAGUGAAACUGCGAAUGGCUCAUUAAAUCAGUUAUCGUUUAUUUGAUAGUACCUUACUACUUGGAUAACCGUGGUAAUUCUAGAGCUAAUACAUGCUAAAAAUCCCGACCUCCGGAAGGGAUGUAUUUAUUAGAUAAAAAACCAAUGCCUUCGGGCUCCUUGGUGAUUCAUGAUAACUUAACGAAUCGCAUGGCCUUGCGCCGGCGAUGGUUCAUUCAAAUUUCUGCCCUAUCAACUUUCGAUGGUAGGAUAGUGGCCUACCAUGGUUUCAACGGGUAACGGGGAAUUAGGGUUCGAUUCCGGAGAGGGAGCCUGAGAAACGGCUACCACAUCCAAGGAAGGCAGCAGGCGCGCAAAUUACCCAAUCCCAAUCCGGGGAGGUAGUGACAAUAAAUACUGAUACAGGGCUCUUUUGGGUCUUGUAAUUGGAAUGAGUACAAUUUAAAUCCCUUAACGAGGAACAAUUGGAGGGCAAGUCUGGUGCCAGCAGCCGCGGUAAUUCCAGCUCCAAUAGCGUAUAUUAAAGUUGUUGCAGUUAAAAAGCUCGUAGUUGAACCUUGGGCCUGGCUGCUCGGUCCGCCUAACCGCGUGCACUGAUGCGGCCGGGUCUUUCCUUCUGGCUAACCUCAUGUCCUUUACUGGGUGUGUUGGGGAUCCAGGACUUUUACUUUGAAAAAAUUAGAGUGUUCAAAGCAGGCCUAUGCUCGAAUACAUUAGCAUGGAAUAAUAGAAUAGGACGUGCGGUUCUAUUUUGUUGGUUUCUAGAGCCACCGUAAUGAUUAAUAGGGAUAGUCGGGGGCAUCAGUAUUCAAUUGUCAGAGGUGAAAUUCUUGGAUUUAUUGAAGACUAACUACUGCGAAAGCAUUUGCCAAGGAUGUUUUCAUUAAUCAGUGAACGAAAGUUAGGGGAUCGAAGACGAUCAGAUACCGUCGUAGUCUUAACCAUAAACUAUGCCGACUAGGGAUCGGGCGGUGUUCUAACUUAUGACCCGCUCGGCACCUUACGAGAAAUCAAAGUUUUUGGGAUCCUGGGGGGAGUAUGGUCG